GGAGUGGUAGUUCAGUUGGUUAGAAUACCGGCCGGUCACGCCGGGGGUCGCGGGUUCGAGUCCCGUCCGCUCCGCCA
rnacentral:tRNA from 1 species